CGCGGCCGUGGAGAGGGAUGCGGGAUCUCUGCGCUCAGCCCCUGGAAAGGGAGAUUCCGUGAGGGGUUGGGGUCGCGGGGGGCGAGCUGCAGCGAUUAAUCAGUGUGCACUUCGGACGGGAGGGAGUGCGGGAGAGACGCUGCUGACCUCGGUGGAGCCGGUGUUGGGGUGUGCGGUGGGGUGCACAGCAGCCUCAUUCCCCCUCUCCUCGAUGCCUUUGGAUGUGUCUGAUGAUGCUGUGAGCGAGGAGGAGACAUGUUUUGCUUCCAGGUGAAUGUUUUCUUCUGGCACACAGGAGCUUGCUGGAAAAUCCUCGGGGAAAUGCUGUGUUGUGAGAUGAGAGGAAGGGCCCUAAGUGAGUUGGCAGGGUUGGAAGUUGCCUUGUCACUUGCCUGAGCAGAGAUGGUUGUUUUGAUAGCCAAGUCCACACACACUUGUGGCCUUGGUUUGAAAGAUCUGGGGAGGCUGGCAGCUUUCCUUUCUUUCCAGCAGCCUUUCCUGUGACAGGUGAGCAGUGAAGCUCAAAAAACUAUGGAACAUUGGAUCUGCUUUUGUAAAGUCUGUUGGUUUGCCCUCUUCCAUCUUAAGAAAACUAAAGGAUGACAGUUGAAAGUUGGACUAAGAGCUCAUUUGGGUUACCAUUGUGACUGAGAGGCAUGACAAAUGCUUAGGAGAGGCAGGGAUCAGAAACCUUCAAAUAUUUAAAACAUAAGUCUGUGCUGUUACUGAAAAAACUAUCUUUUUUUUUUUUUUUUCCUUUUUUUUCCCUCUUGCUCUCUGCAUUCAGUAAGGUCCUGGGAAGUAAAUUCAAGGAGAGGACUGAAGGAAUGUUGUCGGUCAAAGCCUUCACCAGUUUAUGAGACAGCAGAAUGCAAUGACUAAGUUGGAUUGUGGGAAAAUGAAACUGCACCCUCUGUUUAUAGAUGUAGCCGCUACAGUGGCUCAAAAUAAAAAUGCUCCUCAUGAGCAUAACUUCAGGUUUUGGCCAGGAAUGGGUGGUAAAACAGAGGAAAUCUGGUAGAAUUUGAGGAGAACUUUGUUUUUAAAAGAGCAGGAUAAAGGCUUGGUCUUAUUAUUAACUAUAGAGAUGAAAAACAUGUUUAAAUUUCCAUGUACACUUUUUAGAAAAUUACUAAGAAAGUACUGUUGGAAAUACUAAAAAUCAAAAAACUUAGUAAAGAGAAGUUCAGCUUUGAGCUUUCAGUUACAAACUGAGUCUUAAAAUCAGAAAACGCUUUGAAAUGUGCCAUGCUGAGGAGGUGCCUCACAAGUGUGUGCUUUGAAGUUCUCGGUCAGACUUUUUGGAAUGCACAAAUUUUAGCUAAGUGUGCUGGUUUCGUAGAUUAUUUUCCUCAGACCUUGAAACAUGUUUCAUGGAGUUUGGGAAAGAUUACUUUUAGUCUUUGGACCAUGUGUGUGUUUCUCAGAGGUAGGCAGGCUUGUUUACUUGGAUUUCUGCCCUAUGGUGUGACAAGGCCAAAAAUCGUGUAGUUGCGAUAGGCGCAGGAAACGCGUUGCUCCGAAGCUGUGUUCUGGUUCUGUAAAAUUGUUUUUGUGUUCCUAUCAGUUUCUCCUCGUACUCUCAGUACCCAGUUAAUCUGGAGAGACUUGAUGAUACUAUGCAAGGUAGAAUUCUGAUAAGUUUAACUUAGAGCUGUCGUUGAUAGGAAUGUUUAAACCAACCUCCAGUGAGAGUUUGAAGCAACAUACUUCCCAAUAAUAAAUUAUCCUUGCUAACUGGCUUUUUGCACAAGCAACUGUUUUUUUUUUUUUCCUAGUAAAUCUCACAGUUGAAUUUUAAACUUGCCUUCAGUGGUGUGACUCCGGUUUUGGUGUGGUUGUGUUUUAAAACAUUGGCCAAGUGAGUAUUUUGGAUGAGUGAAAAUUAUACUUGAAGCUAUUAUCUUGCUUGCCAAAGCACUGGGAGAAGACUGUCAGGUACCCUGACUGACUAAAGAUGAAAAGAUUUAGCCUCAGGCCCUAUUAUUGGGGAAGGCCUGUUAUCAAAUUAAAUUUUUGGAAGCCUGUUUUUCCUUAAGUUUUGUGAUGUGCCCAUCAAGCUCCACACCUGGCUGGAUUUACCUCUUGAGGUCAUUCUGGUGUUCCAAGUGGGGGGCCGCUCAAGGCUUGAGCAUUUAGACUUAACCAGGGUAAAUGAAAGCAUGUAUCCAUCUGCACAAGCUACUGCUUCUUUUUGUUGGCUCUCUGUGAGAAAGUAAAUCUGUUAAACAUUGUGUGAGGAGCAAAUAAUGAGCGCGGUCUGACACUGAUGCAGAGCUGUGUAGCCACAUCUCUUGUCCGAGGUGACACUGUAGGCUUCUAAAUGUGGCACUUCUGUUGUAGUUAUCACUUUGUAGGCCCGAAGCAGGGUUUUAAAAAUCUUCAACAAACAUUCUUGACUUUGAAAGUGAAACACCAGGCGAAAGUUGAGUCUGUCCUGUUUUGUUUUCAGCUCCCUCUGCGCUGUUAACCUAAAAACCUGAUUGUCAGAAUGCAGAGGAGUGCAAGGAAUAUUCAGGAUGUCAGCAGUCUUUUGGCUGCAGUCUCUGUGUCACAUAAUAUGGGCUUUCACAUUUCGCUGUUCCACCACAGCACUUGAACACCCAGGAAAAGCCAGCUUGUUUAACACCAUGUCAGCAGAACAUGUUAGUUGUGGAAGUUUGAGCUUCUGCUGUGUUCUGGUGCGUCCUUAGUGUGUGUAUGCUUUUUGUGGCGAUUUCUGUAUGCGAAGCUUACUGUGUCAGAAGAAUUAACUUUGUAACAGUUCUGGAAGAAUCAGGGACUGCUGCUGACUGAAAUGGUGAAAGCUGACUCCCGGGUCUGUAACUUGUGAAUGGGUAUGAACCUACUCUUGAAAAAUCUCCUUCCUACAUGUGUUUGAGUGUAUUUCCCUUGGAGUGUGUCAUUUUAUGGUUAGAGGAAAAG